CAGUCGCCACGGGAAUACGAAGGGUGCAAGCGUUACUCGGAAUUACUGGGCGUAAAGCGUGCGUAGGUGGUUGUUUAAGUCUGCUGUGAAAGCCCUGGGCUCAACCUGGGAAUUGCAGUGGAUACUGGGCAACUAGAGUAAGGUAGAGGAUAGUGGAAUUUCCGGUGUAGCAGUGAAAUGCGUAGAGAUCGGAAGGAACAUCUGUGGCGAAGGCGACUAUCUGGGCCAUUACUGACACUGAGGCACGAAAGCGUGGGGAGCAAACAGGAUUAGAUACCCCCGUAGUCCCUGUCUCUUAUCC
rnacentral:rRNA from 1 species